rnacentral:rRNA from 1 species
AGCAGCCGCGGUAAUUCCAGCUCCAAUAGCGUAUAUUAAAGUUGUUGCAGUUAAAAAGCUCGUAGUUGAAUUUCGAGACCGGUUUACUGGUCGUGCUUUUGUACGUACUGGUAUUAUUGGUUUCUCCUUUCUGACGAAUCUUAAUGCCAUUAAUUUGGUGUUUGGGGAAUCAGGACUGUUACUUUGAAAAAAUUAGAGUGUUUAAAGCAGGCUCACGCUUGAAUACAUUAGCAUGGAAUAACGGAAUAGGACGUUUGAUUCUAUUUUGUUGGUUUCUAGGAUCGACGUAAUGAUUGAUAGGAUAGUUGGGGGCAUUAGUAUUCAAUUGUCAGAGGUGAAAUUCUUGGAUUUAUUGAAGACUAACUACUGCGAAAGCAUUUGCCAAGGAUGUUUUC